rnacentral:rRNA from 1 species
UACGUAGGGCGCGAGCGUUGUCCGGAAUUACUGGGCGUAAAGGGCUCGUAGGUGGCCAACUAAGUCAUACGUGAAAUCCCUCGGCUUAACCGGGGAACUGCGUCUGAUACUGGAUGGCUUGAGUUUGGGAGAGGGAUGCGGAAUUCCAGGUGUAGCGGUGAAAUGCGUAGAUAUCUGGAGGAACACCGGUGGCGAAGGCGGCAUCCUGGACCAACACUGACGCUGAGGAGCGAAAGCCAGGGGAGCAAACGGG